ensembl:snRNA U6 U6 spliceosomal RNA
ACGCUAGAUUCUGCAGCACAUAUACUAAAACUGGAAGGACACAGAGAAAAUUAGCAUGGACCGUGUACAAGGAUGACAUGCAAAUUUAUGAAGUGUGUCAUAUGUUU